rnacentral:rRNA from 1 species
GACGUAGGGGCCAGCGUUGUUCGGAAUUACUGGGUGUAAAGGGUUCGUAGGCGGUGCGGCAAGUUGGGAGUGAAAUCUCUGGGCUUAACCCAGAGGCUGCUUCCAAAACUGCUGUGCUUGAGUGUGGGAGAGGCGCGUGGAAUUGCAGGUGUAGCGGUGAAAUGCGUAGAUAUCUGCAGGAACACCCGUGGCGAAAGCGGCGCGCUGGACCACUACUGACGCUGAGGAACGAAAGCUAGGGGAGCAAACAGG